GGGCCGGGUGCGAGCGCCUGUGCGCGAGCGCGAGCAAGCGGAGUGCGAGCCUCAGCCUCCCGGGCGCUCCCGCCGCAGCCGCCCAGCUCGCCCCGCCCCGCCCGCGCGCACCGCCGCACCUGCGGGCUCUCGCCCCGGCGUCUGCGGGACCCGAGGGCUCUGAGCGCGCUGCCGCCCUCCCGCGCCGCCCUCGCACACGCAGAUCCCACUUUUAAAGAAUCCGAAGCGGUGCAGCCCAUCGACACCGAGCGCAGCCGGUUGUGCUUGUUCUCUCCCCGUCUGCAGUUGAGCCCGGACCCUGGAAUAGAAAGACAGUUCUCCGUUGGACUGGCAGAAAGGGAAGGCAGACUCCUCGGUUCCCGAGGAGAGCGGAGCGGCUGCUCUAGUGAAGAAAUGAAGAAUCAAAGAAGUAAAGGAUCUAUUUCAAAAUCACAUAACUAGAAACACUGGAGACUCACAGGAAAAAAAAACUGUUCUAUGACACAAGAAGAAGAUGCUUCUUUUAUGAUUGCACAUUGGAUGGAAAAGAAGUUACUCUAUGAACAACCAUAGAAGAUGAUUUACAUAAUGUAAAAGUUUUCAUAGUGGGCAAAGAAUAGAUCCUGGAUAAUAUUUC
rnacentral:lncRNA from 1 species